rnacentral:rRNA from 1 species
CGUACACUCCUGCGGGAGGCAGCAGUGGGGAAUAUUGCACAAUGGGCGCAAGCCUGAUGCAGCCAUGCCGCGUGUAUGAAGAAGGCCUUCGGGUUGUAAAGUACUUUCAGCGGGGAGGAAGGCGAUAAGGUUAAUAACCUUGUCGAUUGACGUUACCCGCAGAAGAAGCACCGGCUAACUCCGUGCCAGCAGCCGCGGUAAUACGGAGGGUGCAAGCGUUAAUCGGAAUUACUGGGCGUAAAGCGCACGCAGGCGGUCUGUCAAGUCGGAUGUGAAAUCCCCGGGCUCAACCUGGGAACUGCAUUCGAAACUGGCAGGCUAGAGUCUUGUAGAGGGGGGUAGAAUUCCAGGUGUAGCGGUGAAAUGCGUAGAGAUCUGGAGGAAUACCGGUGGCGAAGGCGGCCCCCUGGACAAAGACUGACGCUCAGGUGCGAAAGCGUGGGGAGCAAACAGGAUUAGAAACCCGGGUAGUCCCAUGA